rnacentral:rRNA from 1 species
GUGGGGAAUAUUGGGCAAUGGGCGAAAGCCUGACCCAGCAACGCCGCGUGAAGGAAGAAGGUUUUCGGAUCGUAAACUUCUAUCCUUGGUGAAGAUAAUGACGGUAGCCAAGAAGGAAGCCCCGGCUAACUACGUGCCAGCAGCCGCGGUAAUACGUAGGGGGCAAGCGUUGUCCGGAAUGAUUGGGCGUAAAGGGCGCGUAGGCGGCCCGGUAAGUCUGAAGUGAAAGUCCUGCUUUUAAGGUGGGAAUUGCUGUGGAUACUGUCGGGCUUGAGUGCAGGAGAGGUAAGCGGAAUUCCCGGUGUAGCGGUGAAAUGCGUAGAGAUCGGGAGGAACACCAGUGGCGAAGGCGGCUUACUGGACUGUAACUGACGCUGAGGCGCGAAAGUGUGGGGAGCAAACAGGAUUAGAUACCCUAGUAGUCC